AGGGAAACCGAGUCUUAACUGGGCGUUAAGUUGCAGGGUAUAGACCCGAAACCCGGUGAUCUAGCCAUGGGCAGGUUGAAGGUUGGGUAACACUAACUGGAGGACCGAACCGACUAAUGUUGAAAAAUUAGCGGAUGACUUGUGGCUGGGGGUGAAAGGCCAAUCAAACCGGGAGAUAGCUGGUUCUCCCCGAAAGCUAUUUAGGUAGCGCCUCGUGAACUCAUCUUCGGGGGUAGAGCACUGUUUCGGCUAGGGGGUCAUCCCGACUUACCAACCCGAUGCAAACUGCGAAUACCGAAGAAUGUUAUCACGGGAGACACACGGCGGGUGCUAACGUCCGUCGUGAAGAGGGAAACAACCCAGACCGCCAGCUAAGGUCCCAAAGUCACAGUUAAGUGGGAAACGAUGUGGGAAGGCUCAGACAGCCAGGAUGUUGGCUUAGAAGCAGCCAUCAUUUAAAGAAAGCGUAAUAGCUCACUGGUCGAGUCGGCCUGCGCGGAAGAUGUAACGGGGCUAAACUGUGCACCGAAGCUGCGGCAGCGACGCUUAUGCGUUGUUGGGUAGGGGAGCGUUCUGUAAGCCUGCGAAGGUGUCCUGUGAGGGAUGCUGGAGGUAUCAGAAGUGCGAAUGCUGACAUAAGUAACGAUAAUGCGGGUGAAAAGCCCGCUCGCCGGAAGACCAAGGGUUCCUGUCCAACGUUAAUCGGGGCAGGGUGAGUCGACCCCUAAGGCGAGGCCGAAAGGCGUAGUCGAUGGGAAACGGGUUAAUAUUCCCGUACUUGGUGUUACUGCGAAGGGGGGACGGAGAAGGCUAUGUUGGCCGGGCGACGGUUGUCCCGGUUUAAGCGU
rnacentral:rRNA from 1 species